rnacentral:rRNA from 1 species
ACGGUUACAGAGCAAUGUAGUGUUUGGGAGUGCCCGUUUAACCUAAGCAAUAUAUAAGUGAGUUCAAGUCCUUCUUGAAGGGGGCCAUUUUCCCAUAGAGGGUGCUAGGCCCGUAGUAACCAUUUAUAUGUUUAGGUGGGUAUCUCCUUAGAGUCGGGUUGCUUGAGAGUGCAGCUCUAAGUGGGUGGUAAACUCCAUCUAAGGCUAAAUAUGACUACGAAACCGAUAGCGAACAAGUACCGUGAGGGAAAGUUGAAAAGAACUUUGCAGAGAGAGUUCAAGAGUACGUGAAACUGUUCAGGGGUAAACCUGUAAUACCCAAAUAGUUCGAAAGAGGUGAUUCAUUUGUUUUUCCGUUUAUAAUCAUUUUUCAGUAUAUAGACAUGUAUAAAUCAUUUAUGAUUUUUAAUCGUAUUUGUUAUAUUAUAUAUGCUAUUCUGAUUAAUGUAUAUUUUAUAUUCGGUGGCAUGCACUUCAUCUCUAGUAGAGCGUCGUAACUCAUUAGAUAUAAUUAUGAAUAUAUAUGUGGGGUUUAAGGUUCACAAUGGAGACCGUGGCGUCAUAUUAUUUUUUAUUAAAUAUUAUGUGCGACCCGGACUUGUGUUAUCCUGACACUCUAUCUGAUGGUAUAUAUAUAAAAAUGUAAAUCACUAYWMUKGUGUGUGAUAUAAUAUAUUACUAUAACAAAUAUUAAUA